rnacentral:rRNA from 1 species
UUACCCAAUCCCGAUUCGGGGAGGUAGUGACAAUAAAUAACAAUACAGGGCCAACGGUCUUGUUAUUGGAAUGAGAACAAUUUAAAUAACUUAACGAGGAUCAAUUAGAGGGCAAGUCUGGUGCCAGCAGCCGCGGUAAUUCCAGCUCUAAUAGCGUAUAUUAAAGUUGUUGCAGUUAAAAAGCUCGUAGUCGGAUGUCGGGCUCGGGCAGGCUGUCGGCUUCGGUCGGACGGCAGGCUCGGGUCUUUCUGCCUGAGGAUCCCGUUGCACUUAAUUGUGGGGCGUGGGGACGCAGGCCGUUUACUUUGAAAAAAUUAGAGUGUUCAAAGCAGGCCUACGCUUGAAUACAUUAGCAUGGAAUAAUGGAAUAGGACUUUGGUGCUAUUUUGUUGGUUUAUGGGACCGAAGUAAUGAUUAACAGGGACAGUUGGGGCCGUUUAUAUUUCGUUGUCAGAGGUGAAAUUCUUGGAUUUACGAAAGAUAAACUUCUGCGAAAGCAUUCGGCAAGGAUGUUUUCAUUGAUCAAGAACGAAAGUUAGGGGAUCGAAGACGAUCAGAUACCGUCGUAGUCUUAACCAUAAACUAUGCCGACUAGGGAUCAGUGGAUGUCAAUUUGCGACUCCAUUGGCACCUUGUGAGAAAUCAAAGUUUUUGGGUUCCGGGGGGAGUAUGGUCGCAAGGCUGAAACUUAAAGGAAUUGACGGAAGGGCACCACCAGGAGUGGAGCCUGCGGCUUAAUUUGACUCAACACGGGGAAACUUACCAGGUCCAGACAUAGUAAGGAUUGACAGAUUGAAAGCUCUUUCUUGAUUCUAUGGGUG